rnacentral:lncRNA from 1 species
UUCAUUUUUAUAACAUGUCACUAAUGUAUAGAGAAACUAGCUUAGAGUGGCACGUAGGGCUGUGGGAAGCAAGGGGAGAUACCACUUUGUUUUUUUCCUUUUUUCUCUGAAUGGCAUUUCAAUCGGACUUAAGGGUACUCUGCUUAGUUUCCUCCACAAUAUUUCUUUCUGUCAUAUUUAAUUUAUUGUUGUUUUUGAAACAUUUUUUCUAUCAAACUGAAGUUGGAUUUGUAGACUCCUUAGUUUUGGAACUUUGGAGAGAGAAAGCCCUUUCACUUCUUUUUUACCUGAAGCUGUGAUUUGGAGUAGAGCUAUGUGAAAUGAAUGGAUUCUUUUUCCUGAUAGGCUGAUAAUUUAUUAAAUUUUCAUCUAUGUAAUUUUUCAUGUAUCAUUCUUAUUGUUUAUUAACAAUGGUUUACACAGUGUUGCCCAUGUUCUAGAUGAUCUAGGAGGGCCACAGAGGGCUCACCUGUUCCUCAUCUUCGCAAUGAUAGAGGAUACUAUGAAGGUCAUGUCACGAUUUCUUCUUAAUUCAAAGUUGUCAUUCCAUAUCUGGGUUAGAUUAUCAUCUGUGGCUAGUAGAAAAGGAGUCUCUUAGCAGUAAAUUAAAUUUCUGACUCUAGGAAGUGUUCAGGCACCAAAAUUUUAUUUAUGCAAUUAAUCAAAAAACUUUAGAUUUUGGAGAAUUUGGAUUUUGGAUUUUUGGAUUUAGGAUCCUCAGGUGAUAAAAAUUCUAUGCUCAACCUGUUCAUACAUAUUUUGGUAACUGAAGUUGGAUUCCAAAGUUUGGAAGUCCCACGGCUUAGAAGAAGCUGGAAGUGUGUGUGUGAUGACUAUCAACCCUUGGUUGUACAUUAAUACAGGGAGCUUUAACAAUAAAUGCCAUAUCCCCAGGUUCUACUCCACCAGUUAAAUCAGAAGUGCCAGCAUCCAGAGUAUUUUACAAAAUCCCAGGUGAUCCUAGCAUGCAGACAGAGUUGAGAACUUCUGGUUAUAGUUAGGGUGCUCAAUUUUCACUUAUUUGAUAACAGACUGGCUACAUUAAGAGCAAUUGGAGGUCAGGUCUUUAAGAAGACAGUAGGCUAUGAGAAGGUCAAUGCUAUGUAAUUCUGCUCAUUCAUUUUUUUUUUUUUAAGUUAUGGGAUGUGGUAACUAAAAAGCAGCUGAGAAAUAUGCUUGGUCACUUGUCAGUAGUUGGGGCCCUGAGCUGGAAUCAUUAUCUCCUCAGCAGGUAAGAAGUGUCUUAUUUGAGCCAUCUGUAUUUAUAUCACCA